UACGUAGGGCGCGAGCGUUAUCCGGAAUUAUUGGGCGUAAAGAGCUCGUAGGCGGUUUGUCACGUCUGCUGUGAAAACUGGAGGCUCAACCUCCAGCCUGCAGUGGGUACGGGCAGACUAGAGUGCGAUAGGGGAGAUUGGAAUUCCUGGUGUAGCGGUGGAAUGCGCAGAUAUCAGGAGGAACACCGAUGGCGAAGGCAGAUCUCUGGGCCGUAACUGACGCUGAGGAGCGAAAGCAUGGGGAGCGAACAGG
rnacentral:rRNA from 1 species